CAGAGUGGGAGAAGGGGCAGAGAGGGCACUGAUGAGAGCUUCAUGGCAAAUGCUUGCUGUCUGGGCGAGCGCUCAGCACCGAGAUCCCUCGGGAGGAGCUCCGCUCCAUGGUGGACUUCCUUCCGUUCUUUGUGUGGCUCAUUCCUGCUCCUGGGGCUGGACGCAUUGAGGGUGAUGAGGCACCGUCACCUUCUUGGCCUGGAGAUCCCUGUCCAGCUCUGCAGAGGUGGCCCUGGAAGCUCACCUGAAGCUGACAGAAGGGAGGAGCGAGUGGAGUGCCCACUGCCCGGGCCAGGGGAGCCAGACCCUGGUGGCUUCGUGGCAGCUGCUGUGCUCCUUGCCAGCCUCAGGGCGGUGGGGCCACAGAGGAAGAACGCAAAUGCCUGGACUCCCACUCGGAAUCUGAACGCCGUCCAGCCUGCCUCCCGCUCUUUCAUCUUCACGGCAGAAACGGUGAAAUAAUCCGUUCCCAUCUCUACAAAGGCCCCACCACACCCCAGUUGCCUGUGUCUCAAGAGAAACGUGGUGUGGGGACCAUUUGGAGCCUCUUUACAAACAACGUCGCCACAUCCUGAGACUGCCUGGGAAUUGCCGUCCAACAAGGUAGGGAGGGACCCCGGGGGUGACAAGGACACUGGGCCAGCUCUUCUAAUGAUUUAAAGAGUUAAGUCGUGUUUACAUGAAAUGGAACCCGUCAGGAAAUUGGAAGCUCUCGGCCUCACUGUGAGCUCUGCCGAGUCCAAUGCUAUUCCCCCGCUGCGUGUCCACCCUGGGCUCAGAGCUGCGAUGGCUUUUAUUUUAUUAGAGGGACCGGAUUGCUUUCUGUCUACUUGGUGUGCUCCUUCUUUCUCAGCCUGACUCCUGGCUCUGGGAUGGGGGAGCUGAGAGACGUUCGAUGUUCAGAAACGGAGGCUGAAAAGGGCUUCUCUUGGGUGGGUAGACGAGGCAGCAC
rnacentral:lncRNA from 13 species